UACGUAGGGUGCGAGCGUUUAAUCGGAAUUACUGGGCGUAAAGCGUGCGCAGGCGGUUCGUUGUGUCGGCGGUGAAAGCCCCGGGCUUAACCUGGGAAUGGCCGUCGAAACUGGCGAACUGGAGUGUGGCAGAGGGGGGUGGAAUUCCGCGUGUAGCAGUGAAAUGCGUAGAGAUGCGGAGGAACACCGAUGGCGAAGGCACUUUACUGGGCUAUUACUGACACUGAGAGACGAAAGCUAGGGGAGCGAAUGGG
rnacentral:rRNA from 1 species